CCUACGGGUGGCAGCAGUAGGGAAUUUUCGGCAAUGGGGGGAACCCUGACCGAGCAACGCCGCGUGAACGAAGAAGUUAUUCGUAAUGUAAAGUUCUUUUAACAGGGAAGAAAGAGAAAUUUGACGGUACCUGAUGAAUAAGCUCCGGCUAACUACGUGCCAGCAGUCGCGGUAAUACGUAGGGAGCGUGCGUUAUCCGGAAUUAUUGGGCGUAAUGGGUGCGUAGAUGGCAUAUUAAGUCUUUUGUAAAAAUGCUGGGCUCAACCCAGUAGGGCAAAAGAUACUGCACAGCUAGAGUAUGACAGAGGCAGGUGGAACUACAGGUGUAGCGGUAAAAUGCUUAAAUAUAUGUAAGAACACCGGUGGCGAAGGCGGCUUGCUGAGUCGAUACUGACAUUGAGGCACGAAAGCGUGGGGAGCAAACAGGAUUAGAUACCCUUGUAGUC
rnacentral:rRNA from 1 species